GGGUCUGUGGGGUAGCUUGGUCCAUCCUUCGGGCUUUGGGAGCCUGAGACCCCGAUUCAAAUUCGGGCAGACCCACCA
rnacentral:tRNA from 1 species